rnacentral:rRNA from 1 species
UACAGCUUGGCACUGAACAUUGACCCUACAUGUGUAGGAUAGGUGGGAGGCUUUGAAGCAGAAACGCUAGUUUUUGUGGAGCCGUCCUUGAAAUACCACCCUUGUAGUGUUGAUGUUCUAACGUUGGUCCCUGAUCGGGAUUACGGACAGUGCCUGGUGGGUAGUUUGACUGGGGCGGUCUCCUCCCAAAGAGUAACGGAGGAGCACGAAGGUUGGCUAAGUACGGUCGGACAUCGUACGGUUAGUGUAAUGGUAGAAGCCAGCUUA